GACGAACGCUGGCGGCGUGCCUAAUACAUGCAAGUUGAGCGCUGAAGGUUGGUACUUGUACCGACUGGAUGAGCAGCGAACGGGUGAGUAACGCGUGGGGAAUACGUCUUUUAGCGGGGGACAACAUUUGGAAACGAAUGCUAAUACCGCAUAAAAACAUUUAAAACAAGUUUUAAGUUUGAAAGAUGCAAUUGCAUCACUCAAAGAAGCUCCCGCGUUGUAUUAGCUAGUUGGUGAGGGAAAGGCUCACCAAGGCGAUGAUACAUAGCCGACCUGAGAGGGUGAUCGGCCACAUUGGGACUGAGACACGGCCCAAACUCCUACGGGAGGCAGCAGUAGGGAAUCUUCGGCAAUGGACGAAAGUCUGACCGAGCAACGCCGCGUGAGUGAAGAAGGUUUUCGGAUCGUAAAACUCUGUUGGUAGAGAAGAACGUUGGUGAGAGUGGAAAGCUCAUCAAGUGACGGUAACUACCCAGAAAGGGACGGCUAACUACGUG
rnacentral:rRNA from 1 species